UCUUAUACACCUGUGAGGUUGCUGCUCCCCGCCACCCAGCUGCUCCUGAGAUUCUCACACGUGAAUAACUGCGCCUGUAUGGGAACACUCAGAGAAAAUGUCACAGAGGUUUUGAAAUGAUAACCAGAAAACACACUGUGAUGGUCUGACUGGGCCCGAAGCCACACCACCAAGCUGUGAUCUUGGCAAAACCCACAAGGUAAAUAAGGCUGGGCACAAAGUACAACUGGAUGGGAGGCAUGUGAGUGCUGAAGGAUGAGAUCCUGGCGAUUCAGACAGCAGCGCAAGCUCAUCUGAAACAAUGUUCCGGCACAGUGCCAAGAGUGCUCUAGAGUGGUGUGGAGAUGCAAGAAAACACUACCAUGCUGCUUUGCAAGAAAGGAUGUGCUCCAUGGGUUCCAAAUCACCUCUACAUGGGCUUUGUAAGAUCAGCUGAUUCCCUCCGAGCUAAAAAACACCGAGGAGAUGCCAAGUCACAUUGUUUGGGCAAUUUUUUUUUGUUUAGUGUUGUGUAAUGGAACCAUCUGCAUGAGUACCAAUCAAUAAUCAAGGCAACCACGGCCAGAUGACAAAUCCCUCUGCUUCUGCAGGGACAAGACAACUUCUCUGCCAGUACAGAGGAUCCUCAGCCUUAAAUGGCUGAUUCACAGUUGGGCCAAAGCUGGAUCUUCCAGAGACUCUGAAAGGACAACUUCUGCCUCUGUGGGCUGUCUUUUCCAUGCUCUUCAGCUGAACCUCAGGGAGAAAGGAGUCCUGCUGGCAAGGACCUGUCUAAAGGAUAUGCUACUUCUUUUAGUGCUAUUGCACCAAAUGUUGAGAGCCAUGAGCAUUAAGCUAGUUAGUAGAUGGCAGCCACACUGAGAGAGCAUCCUCCUCAUGUAUGAGACUUAAAAAAGUCUGGGUACUUACUGGUUUAUAACAUCUUUACUAAAAAGAAGAAAACCAAGAAAAUCUCCAAACACUCAAGAUCCCUUCACAACCUAUUUUUGCAAAAUCCAGAAUCAGAUUCCAUUUCUCUGAGCACAUCCACUAUCUAAGCUGGAGAUAAGUUUCAGGAAGAAGAAAUCUUUACUCAUUUACCAAAAGAACUCUUCACUGAACUUUCAAAAAUGACUUCUGCAACAGCACAAAACUGGUCUUUUUACUUUAAAUGCAAAACCUUGGUAUGGAAGCACAGCUGAGUGUUAUAUAAUUUUUUUCUUCUAUUAUUCUCCAUUUCCUUUGCACAUGCCAGUCAAAACUAUAAAAUACUUGUGGGAGAAAUGCAGAAGGCACGGUUUCACAUUCCAAAAGAUCUAUUUCCAUGUGCUGCAUACGAGCCAGUCGACCACCCAGGAAAGGCAGGCAAACACACUUUGGCCCACCAGUGCUGCAGUUGCUGACGAGCAGCCCUUCUCUAGCAGAGCUUUACCCUGUAUUUCCUAUGAGAAAUAAGCAUCAAGCCUCACAAGCAGCCGAGCCUGUGGCUGCAUCACCUCUAAGUCUGCCCUGAAACAGUACUGACAAAGUACUCUCUCCUCUUGAGAAGUGGUGCCAAGUGCUAAAAUAUUUUUAAUAAACUGGCCACAAAAAAGGAAAUAAAAAGGAGUAGAUAACCUUAAUACAGAAUAUCACCUGCUUAUUUGUCAAAUCCUUCCAUCCUAUUCCUUUGCCCUCCAUCACAACACUUUCAGCCCAGUUUUAUUAGAGAAAUGAGAGUGAAGCUGGGUCAUCUGUAGUCUUGAGAAAGGGUAUGACCAGCUAUUUUCUCUCCCUAAGAACCCUGGACAAUGUUACUUUCUUUUCAUACAUCAGUCACAGAAAGGAUUGGUAACUGUUUCAGAGUCACUAAAAAUUAAUCAGUCCCUGAGAGGCCAAGCUGGUUGAGAAACUGCUGGCUCGAGCAAGAGAAGUAGGCAUGACUUGCCUUCAACAAAGCAGAAGGCAUUUGGUUUUAGUUAAAGGGGUGAAGGGUAGUAAAACUCGGCCAAGUAUUUAUUUAUUGGACCGAAGUGCCUGCAGCAAGAGAGGAGGGUGAGAUGGUGUAAAGUUUUUGUAAUCCCAACCUUGGAAGAGAAGCAAUUGAACUCUGGUUUCACUGUUGGAAUAAGACAGCACAGAAAAUCUUUGGUAUGUGCUGUAGAAAUGAUGAUUUAUAGAAGCAAUGGAGUGUCUGUGUGUGUGUAAAACCAAAAAAUAUCUAAAAGCCCUAAAGCUUUCCCACGACAAUACCUUUUCUUUAACCUGUUGGCCAUUA